UGACUGAGUGGCGGACGGGUGAGUAACGCGUGGGUAACCUGCCUCACACAGGGGGAUAACAGUUGGAAACGACCGCUAAUACCGCAUAACCCGCUGGUACCGCAUGGUACCGACGGAAAAGAUUUAUCGGUGUGAGAUGGACCCGCGUCUGAUUAGCCAGUUGGCAGGGUAACGGCCUACCAAAGCGACGAUCAGUAGCCGGCCUGAGAGGGUGAACGGCCACAUUGGGACUGAGACACGGCCCAAACUCCUACGGAAGGCAGCAG
rnacentral:rRNA from 1 species